AUUGAACGCUGGCGGCAUGCCUUACACAUGCAAGUCGAACGGUAGAGUAGCAAUACUCGAGAGUGGCGAACGGGUGAGUAAUAUAUCGGAACGUGCCCAGUCGUGGGGGAUAACGUAGAGAAAUUUACGCUAAUACCGCAUACGAUCUAAGGAUGAAAGCGGGGGAUUCGCAAGAACCUCGCGCGAUUGGAGCGGCUGAUAUCAGAUUAGGUUGUUGGUGAGGUAAAAGCUCACCAAGCCGACGAUCUGUAGCUGGUUUGAGAGAACGACCAGCCACACUGGGACCGAGACACGGCCCAGACUCCUACGGGAGGCAGCAGUGGGGAAUUUUGGACAAUGGGCGAAAGCCUGAUCCAGCAAUGCCGCGUGCAGGAAGAAGGCCU
rnacentral:rRNA from 1 species